GCAUAUGUAAAUAAAUGGUUCCCUCAAGUGUCAGAUUGUGAAUUCGAAAACACGGGUUCAAAUCUCGUUAUUCGCC
rnacentral:tRNA from 1 species